AGCAAUUCUGCUGCAGCCAAGACUGUUAAUAAUUGGUGUGGUUUCACAUCCAUGUUACCACUGUUAGUUGCAUCCCUUGCUGAUUCUUGUUGGGACAAGUAUCCCACCAUCUUAGCCUCUUCUUUCAUCUAUGUUGUGGGGCUUGUGGCAUUGACGUCAACAGAAUUGACUUGGUCAUGGUAUCCCUCCAACAACCUAAGCUUUUCAUUCCUGUUUUGUUCGCUCUGUUUGGUCUCACUAGGCCAAGGUGGAUAUAACCCAUCUUUGCAAGCUUUUGGAGCCGAUCAACUUGAAAGUGAUGAUGAACUUCCAUGCUCAAAAGAUGACCAGAAAUCUAAUAAAAAGAGUUUGUUCUUUAAAUGGUGGUAUUUUGGUGUUUGUGGUGGCAGCCUCUUAGGUGUCACAGUCAUGUCCUAUAUUCAAGACACAUUUGGCUGGGUACUGGGAUUUACUAUCCCAACAAUUGCAAUGGUUUCUUCAAUUGGAUUAUUCUGGUGUGGAAGCAGAAUGUAUGUGUACAAACAGAAUGAUAAUAGUACAGAUAAAAAGCCAUUUCGAAACAUAGUUCGAGCGAUUAAAGAAACUGCAUUGAAAUUAGCAAACUGCAGAAUCAAAUUAUCAAGUAGCAAAUCUCAAGUUGUUGAGCUAGAGUAGGUUUUCUUAUUUGUAAUUCAAGUCUGUUUCAUUUCAAGAUGUCAAUGAGUUCUGAUGAUAACAAAAUAUUUUUGAAUUUUUUUUAUAGGCUGCAGGAGAAGCCUCUUUGUCCUGAGAGCUUAGGCAAGGUCAAGGGCUUGAAUGACAACUCUUUUGAAAAUGCAAAAGUUGUAUUAAGGCUUGUGCCUAUUUGGACAAUGCUUCUGAUGUUUGCAGUCAUUUUUCAACAGCCUGCCACAUUCUUCACCAAGCAAGGUGUGACAAUGAAGAGGAAUAUUGGCAGCAAUUUCAAGAUCCCUCCAGCUACACUACAGAGUUCUAUUACAGUAUCUAUAAUCCUUCUGAUGCCACUGUAUGAUACAAUGUUUAUCCCAAUUAUACGGAUCAUAACUCGGGAUGAAAAGGGUAUCAAUGUAAUGCAAAGAAUGGGGAUUGGGAUGGUUCUUUCUAUAAUAGCUAUGAUGAUUGCAGCACUGGUUGAAACAAAAAGGCUUGAGAUGAGCCAAAAAAUGCCACAUUCUGAAACAGUUCCCCUAAGCAUAUUUUGGCUGCUACCUCAGUACAUUCUGCUUGGCAUUUCAGACAUCUUCACUGUUGUUGGGAUGCAAGAGUUUUUCUACAGUGAAGUUCCAGGAAGAAUGAAAACUAUGGGGAUUGCACUGUAUACUAGCGUAUUUGGAGUGGGAAGUUUCUUGGGUGCCCUGUUGAUUUCCCUUGUAGAAAUUUUCAACAAUUCAAGAGGGAGGCAGAGCUGGUUCUCUGACGACAUGAGAGAAGCUCACCUGGACAAGUACUACUGGCUUCUAGCCUUGUUAAGUGCACUAAGCAUGCUGCUUUAUGUCAUUUUGUGCAAAUUUUACAGGAGUGAAUAGGAUUGUGAGAAUUGUCAGUGAGUACUUUGUUUUAAAUUUUCAUAUAGUUUUUGUCUAAAGAAAAAUCUCCUGUAAUCACUUGAA
rnacentral:misc_RNA from 1 species